AAGCGAUCCUCCCAUCUGGGCCUCCCGAAGUGCUGGAAUUACAGGAAAAGAGGCUUUUGGGACCAUGGAGGAGUGGCUCCCUAAACCCAUAUGGAAAGUAGAUCUGUGUGACACAAAGGGUGAAUGAAGUGGCCAUGAAAACACACCAGUCAGAUCUCCUGUUGUGGGAGUCAUAACUGACAAUGGCCCCAGCUGCUGCACCUCCAGAUCUACCAUUGUGUUCACACAGAGGCCACACGUCCUGUGAGCCAGUGACUGCACACGGUGGGUUACUAAAGCAGGCCAGUUCCAGAAAAAUGCAAGAAUUCUUCAGUGGGCAACUUUGACUUAAAAACUCCCCAUCAGCCUGGCCAAAACUUUCUUGGAACACUGCUGAAUUCUGAAACUAUGUCAAUCCUCCUCUCUCCUUCCCUGAGAAUCAGACCUGCACUGUGACUUGAAUCUUCUUUCUACCUUCUCCUGCUGCUCUCUCCACCCUCCUGUAAAGGUGUUUUUCCCCGAAAACCUCCUGCAUGUCUAUUACUGUCUUGGUGUCAGAUUCUAGGAGGAUCUGAACUAACACACCUAUCGAGUUAUUCACUUUUUUCAUUUUUUAGUUGUCAGCAUGAUUUUUAAAAAAUAUAUUUCCAUUCUCUUGUGAAAUUCUUCAUCUGUUCUUUCUUGAACAUAUUAAUUAUAGCUAUUUUAAGUUUCUGAUUAUUUUAAUAUCUGGAUCACUGAUAGGUCUCUAUGUUUUUUUCUGUUUUUGGACAUUUGGUCUAGUUUCUUGGCACGCCUAGAACUUUUUGUUGAAUCCUGGACAAUAUGUGUUUAAAGCCAAGAGGUUCUAGAUAGUGUCUUUUUUCAUAAAGGACUUAAUUUUUUCCUGAGAGGUAAAUAGAGUAUGGACAGACCACCUCGAUCCAGUCUAAGUGGAGUUUCAAGCCUUGUUAGAGCUGUAUUUCUGGUUUAGUCUUGCUUUUAGGGUGUAUUUACUCUUGGGGUCUAGCCCUGAUUGCAGUCUCAACUGAGAGCCUGGAUUGUUUACCAGUCUCCCUCAAUCUGGUGGGUUCUGAACCCUAAGAUUUGUUUCCCUAGACCCAGGAGAUUACCCACAUCUCUGCUCAGCUCUUUAGCUUCCCAGAUGCUGCUUUUUGACUAGGUCUCGGAAUCUCUCCUUACAUCUUCAUAACGUAGAAUUCAGCAAAUACCUCAAGGAGAAAAACGCAUGAGGAAUUUCCAGAUCAUUUCUCUGUGGUUGCCUCUUCUCUGGCUUCUCAAAUCUUAGCUACCUUGGCAACUGUAAACCACAACUUUGAUGUUUUAAGCCCAGUGAAACUGCAGAAAGCUUCGGGGUCACCACAUUCUGUAUAGCCUCUUUUCUCCAUUUCUUGGACCAGCAAAUGCUUAAAGGUAAAAAGUGGAUGCAAGACUGAGGCUCAUUGAGUAUGCCUUCCUUCUCUCUUGGAUCUUGAUCCUGCAAAUCCUGGCUUCCUUGGUGGCUCUCUGAAGCAUUCAAUACUCUGCAUUUUUUUUCUUUUUCUAUCCAGUUGUUCAGGCCUCAGAUGUAUUACAUUUCCUUCCAGCCUCAAGCCUUUGCACAUGCCCUUCUCUCCUUUCACAACAUAUUCCCACCUUGCACCCCUACUCAGUAACCACUCUUCUUUCAGAUUACCUCAACCAUCAUUUCUACAGAGAAGCCAUUUCUUACAUCCCUGGAUAGAUUAAAAUCCUGUCUUACAGAUUUUUCAGGGCACCACUCUUACCUCUACUUUAUAGCCCUUAUCAGUACAAUUUUAUAUUUACUAGUGUAAUUAUUGAAUUAAACUCUCUCUCUCUGAUUACCCUAUAAGCAUAGCAUGGACAUUUAUCAUAUCUGAUCAACAUUAUACUUCCAGUGACUAACAAGUGCCUAAUACCUAAGGAGUGCUCAAUAAAUAUCUACUGAAUGAAUAUGAGGCAAUCAUCACCUUUUGAAGUAGCUCAUCCACUGUAUUGA
rnacentral:lncRNA from 1 species